GACGACCUGGAAGGACACCUGUCCAGACUAGCCCGGCGUUCUUGACAACACUCUUCGCUUGUGAAGUUAAUGAGAGCUGUGCUCCAGUCUGUGAGACUGUCUGGACAUUUGGGAAGCAGGGGACGAGUCUCAGUUUGUUUUGGGAAGCGUUUCUCCAGGUUUUAAAGCAGGGAGUGAGGGUAGCUUUGUGUUUUGCUUUGCUUUCAGGUGUAGACAGUCGACAGGUGUAGACAGUCAGGUUUGUCAUCAUCAGUUGUUUUCUCGUCCAUGAAGCCAUCACCCCACCUUGUGUUUGGGCUUUUGAUGUAAAUAAACCUGCCAGCCUCUGACUUCCAUGGUGUCCAGUGUCUGGUCUGGCAGCAGGUCUGGGGAGAGAGACCGACUCGUAAGACUGGAAAUGGAAAACUGCAUCUGUUUCUACUGAAUACUGGCAGUGAAACUGCUACAAGCAGGGAAGUGGACACUGAAGGGGUAGUUUGGCUAAGAAUCACGUCGUCAACCAAGAUGUUUGCUUCUUGGCACUGGAGCUAUGAGACUGAUGCAUCCAACCAGCAAUGGAAGCUCAUGUACACAGUUAAAGAGGUUUAUUCAAAAUGUAUGCAUAAUUAAAUGGUUAAGAUGUAAA